AACGAACGCUGGCGGCAUGCUUCAGACAUGCAAGUCGAACGAGAUCUUCGGAUCUAGUGGCGCACGGGUGAGUAACGCGUGGGAACCUACCUUUCAGAUCGGGAUAACAGUUGGAAACGACUGCUAAUACCGUAUACGCCCUCCGGGGGAAAGGUCAGCCGCUGAAAGAGGGGCCCACGUCUGAUUAGCUUGUUGGUAGGGUAAAAGCCUACCAAGGCUACGAUCAGUAGCUGGUCUGAGAGGAUGAUCAGCCACACUGGGACUGAGACACGGCCCAGACUCCUACGGGAGGCAGCAGUCGGGAAUAUUGGACAAUGGAGGAAACUCUGAUCCAGCAAUGCCGCGUGUGUGAUGAAGGCCUUAGGGUUGUAAAGCACUUUCAACGGUGAAGAUGAUGACGGUAGCCGUAGAAGAAGCCCCGGCUAACUUCGUGCCAGCAAG
rnacentral:rRNA from 1 species